CUGUGUUUUAUCUCUAGCGUGUUCCCAGCAUCUACCUGGAACUGGGAAGAAGAAACCCAGGCAUGCCAGAAAAAUAUCGAGGUGAGUCAGAGGGCACCUUCUGCCGCAGCAGCAUCUGACCGCCAGACUACAGACCAGGUCCCCUAACAAGGGACAUGAGAACAGGUCCCCUCCUCUCCGGCUCACAGAGUUUUGCCUCUUUGUGUCUUUGUUUCUGUGUCUGUCAUGUGGUGUUGUGAGACCUUGUUCUUGGGAGACAGAAUGAGUUAUGUCAGGGAUGGUACUAAAGGCAUUCUAAUAAUAC
rnacentral:lncRNA from 1 species